rnacentral:rRNA from 1 species
AGCGAACGCUGGCGGCAGGCCUAACACAUGCAAGUCGAACGAAGCCUUCGGGCUUAGUGGCGGACGGGUGAGUAACACGUGGGAACGUACCUUUUGGUUCGGAAUAACGCAGAGAAAUUUGCGCUAAUACCGCAUGAGCCCUUCGGGGGAAAGAUUUAUCGCCGAAAGAUCGGCCCGCGUUGGAUUAGGUAGUUGGUGUGGUAAAGGUGCACCAAGCCUACGAUCCAUAGCUGGUCUGGCAGGAUGAUCAGCCACACUGGGACGGAGAAACGGCCCAGACGCAUGCGGGAGGCAGCAGUGGGGAAUCUGGCGCAAUGGGCGAAAGCUUGACGCAGCCAGGCCGCGUGAAUGAUGAAGGUCUGAGGAUUGUAAAAUUCUUUUGCCGGGGACGAUAAUGACGGUACCUGAAGAAAAAGCCCCGGCUAACUUAGUGCCAGCCGCCGCCGUAACAC